CCUACGGGAGGCAGCAGUGGGGAAUAUUGCACAAUGGGGGAAACCCUGAUGCAGCGACGCCGCGUGAGUGAAGAAGGAAUUCGGUAUGUAAAGCUCUAUCAGCAGGGAAGAAAAUGACGGUACCUGAGUAAGAAGCCCCGGCUAACUACGUGCCAGCAGCCGCGGUAAUACGUAGGGGGCAAGCGUUCUCCGGAUUUACUGGGUGUAAAGGGAGCGUAGACGGCAGUGCAAGUCUGGCGUGAAAGGCGGGGGCUCAACCCCCGGACUGCUCUGGAAACUGGACGGCUGGAGUGCAGGAGAGGUAAGUGGAAUUCCUAGUGUAGCGGUGAAAUGCGUAGAUAUUAGGAGGAACACCAGUGGCGAAGGCGGCUUACUGGACUGUAACUGACGUUGAGGCUCGAAAGCGUGGGGAGCAAACAGGAUUAGAUACCCUAGUAGUC
rnacentral:rRNA from 1 species